rnacentral:tRNA from 1 species
GGGGUAUAGCUCAGUGGUAGAGCAUUCGACUGCAGUUCGAGAGGUCCUGGUUUAAACCGGAUGCUUCCU